rnacentral:rRNA from 1 species
CUCGGUUACACAAAUAAUAUAAUUUAGUUUUAUUGAUAAUAAUUAAUUUAGUAAGAGAAUUAUAAAUUAAAAUUUAUUAGGUGAAAUUUUAAAUUUUUAAUUUAGUUUUAUUUAUAAAAUGAUGUUAAGAAAUUUUAAAUUAUAGACUAGGAUUAGAUACCCUAUUAUUUUAAAUGUAUUUUUAAAAUUUGAUUAGUAUUAGUUAUGUUCUUUAAAAUUAAAAAUUUUGGCGGUAUUUUAGUCUUUUCAGAGGAACCUGUUUUAUAAAUGAUAAUCCACGAUUUUAUACACUUUUUUUAAAAAUUUAUAUAUCAUCGUAAUUAAAUAUUUUAUUAGAAUUAUAAAUAUUUAAGAUUUUUUAUUAAAAAAUUAAUCAGAUCAAGGUGUAGUUUAUGAAAAAGAAAAAAUGGGUUACAAUAAAUUUAUUUUUGGAUAAUUAAUUUUAUAUUAAUUUGAAUUUGGAUUUGGGAGUAAUUUUAAUUAAUUAAUUAAUUUGAUUAAAGCUCUAAAAUAUGC